AGAAGGCUGUAUACAGCUGGGAAUAGUUUAUUAGUACCAGUGGCUAGGGUUUGUGGGAAGUUGGCCUGGAGUGACUAGUGGAAAUUCUGCAGCUUCACUUCAGAUUUGUAUACAGUAAUGAUAGCUGCAUUAGGUUGUUACUGUAGAUGUGGAAGAGUGACAUCGUCUGGUAUGGGUUGGUUUACUUUCGUUGUUGUCUACGGUCAUGUAUAAAGGAUAUUCGUAUGAAUGAUCACCAACAGUGUGCGUCAGAUGCUGAGGUCCUCAGUGUUGUAUAUUGGUAACCGGAAUAUUUCAUAAUUUUACCAAGACUUUGGAGGCAUGGUUAAAAAGGUUGUGGAAGGUCCCUGCAAUGUAUGAGAAUGAGUGGUUAAAAGAAACUUAAUCAUAAGUGAUGCACAAAUAUGGAUUGAAAAGUCUGGAACUUUGUCUUGCAAUUGGAGUGGGUUACCUGCAUAUAUUACAGAAUCAGGUGCCAAUGCAGAUUAGAAUGGUAUCAAAUCCAGUGACUGUUCUACUGUAAAGGACUUAUGAAGUGGUGAUUGCCUCUGGAGUUGUCUUGGCCUUUUGGAUCUUCUGUUCAUCUAGGAGCAUCUGUCUCACAACCUGAAACAUUGAUAAAUAUUAGAUGUAUUAUAAAUACUAUAUGUCAAACUUAUUAAAUAAAACAAUUUUAAUGAAA